rnacentral:lncRNA from 1 species
GAUCUAAAGGGGGAGAUGGAGCUGAUUUAAAAGGAGUCAUCCAAGUCCAGUGGCAAGACAAAAGUUAGGAUCUCAAGCCUGUCUGUGAGUUAGGGGGUGUCUAC